CUGCUGCCUGCCGAUGAAGAAAUUCUGACAAAGAACCUCACAGGUGCCAUUCGUUUUUUUCACAAUGUUACACACUGAGGUGCCUAAAGGGUAUACAACUUUAUAACCCGUUGUCCGCCGUGUUGCGCAACCAUCAACCGUUGAAAAAAAAAGAUCAAGCAUAUUUCCUUUACCUUUCUCGUCACUUAUCGAGUGAAAAUCAUUCGUGGAUCCAUGCACGAUUCAAAUUUUUCAAAGGAUUAGCAUUGUUGAACAAUGAGAAGAACCAUCCAUCAAUUAAUCUAUUGACUUGAAUCUUGAGGAUUAACGCCAUGUUUCGAAACAUAUCUGCAAUUGUGUGCAAUUAAUGGUGGGAUCAAGUUUGAUAUGCAAGGUCAAGCCGAAUGGCAGCAGCUUAGCUCGUGGAAAAAAAAAACGAAACACGCGUGUCACAAGCGCGCAAGCUGCACGGUGUUCGCGCUCGGCGUGCGUAGCCAACGGACCCCCAUAAAAGAGCAGUGCAGCUGUGUUUUUUUUCGAAAAAAUCCGUGCCGUGUGUGCGGGAGCAUGCGGUCGAUUCGACGAGACAGUCACGGAGAAAAAGAGGAGGAGGAGGAGGAGGAGAAGGAAGAAGAAACAGAAGAAGAGGGCAGGUAAAGAAGAAACAGAAGCGCGGAAGGAGAAUCAGAGGCAGAGAGAGGAAGGCGAUAGACGUGGAGAGGCGGAGGCAAUGGAAAAAGAAACGAUUCGCCGCGGACAGAGGGUUGAAGAACGGGUUGAAGAAGCGGUGGAAGAAGGAGGAGAAGAAGCGGCGCAACAUGCCGAGGGUACCGGUCGAGGUGAAGGAGGAUAGCGAAGGGGCAAGGUGCUGCCAAGGUGGCGGUUAGGGCAGCUGAUCUUCGAAUAGCAGCAGGUGAAUGCGAAGAAGCUCGCGCUCGUGGAUGGAGCGAGACAACUGGGAUGGUAGUUGCGGUAGAUGCGCCGCUGGCUGUGGAGGAGGAAGAGGUGGGAUCCACGCGUGCAUAAAAGGUGUUUCGUUAUUGUUACCAAGCGCGCGCGCGCUACCCGCCUCUUGGAUUUAUUAAUCUUAUUCGCCGUGGCAACGGGUUCCUCUUGCUACCCUGAUCAAUCCAAGUCAACGUCGAACGUAUCUAACUUGUCCUCCUCAAUCUUGGAAUGGAGAUAUAUCAAUUUUAAAUUUAAGGAUCCAUUGAUUCAAAUUUGUUAUAAGGAUAUUUAAAAUUUGUCGAAGAAAGCACUCGUCAGUUGCGAAGAAGGUGCGCAAGGUGGCCGAGGAAUCUGUGAGACUUAACGGUCGGACACGCCACGGAAGAACAAGUGCAGGGUGCACUUGUGGGAAGAAGGUCAGGGGUGUUCCCAAGUUACGUGGCGUGGAGGGUGCCUUGGCCACGAAGGUGGCGGCUCCUUCUUCGUGGUCGUCGAAUUAAUAGGCCAUCUGCUUCUGCCUCCUUCGAGGAAGUCAAUGUUUAGGAAGUCCAUGGGAAGCGGCGACAACGGAAAGCCCCAUAAACGAUCGGAGACAUGGGAACGAACGUUUGCAAGGAAGUCGCAUGCGGCCCUGUUACGCACGAUAUAUUCCUUCGCCUUCUGCUAAUCAGGGGCAGAGACAGCGUAGGUGUGAGCUGCUAGCUAUAAGGAAACGAUGAGUUUGGAUCAAGGAUACUCCCAAGUGGUUACUUUUCCGGUCUUUCUACUCUUACUGUGAGACGUCCAACGUUUCUCUAACGGAUCUCUGAUUAGCCGUAUCCAAUAACUAUGAGAAUUCCUUGGGUAAAAAUGGAAAACGAGCAACACUUUAAAGCUUUACGUCAUAGAAAGUUUUGAAAGAUGAAAUAAGUAGAAGAUUUAAGAGAUAUUUCUAAAGAUUAAAAUAAAUAACAGAGAUUCUUCCAUUCCUAUACUUUCUGUAUCCAUCAAACGGCUACUUAUGUCAUGUUAAUCUAAUCAUUUGCGGAACUAUCGAAUGAUCGAUCUAGCCAGUAAAGAUUGGAAUUCCACGAAUUGCAUUGAAGAAUUGCGUUUCUUUGCACUUUCUCAAGACACCGUAGGCGAAGAAAAAUUGCGGGUGAGGACUAUCAAUAACUUCUGCGGAAUUCGCGCUAAAGGUUAACCGAAAGAGCGACCCGUCGCGUGUGUUCACGGAUCGAUCGGAGAAAUCGUCGAUCGUAACUGCAACAUCGUUUUUUACAAAACGACCUUUCUAUCAACAGAAGAUCGAAGAUUAGAUUCUUAAUUAUAUAACUCUUAAACAAAGAAUCUUAGAAUGGUCAUAGUUGACGUUAUGCAUGGUGAUUUUGCGGUUGAUGGAAGAUCUUGAAUUGGUGGAACGAAGUAAUAUGAUCGGAGAGAUUGAAAGCUGGAGGAUGGAAAAAGAUCACAAAACCGAGCAUGAAAAAGGAAAAAAGAUCGAUAGAAGAUUAGUGAACGAAGAAAGAAGAGAAAGAAAACUAGAAGGGUAUACGAUAGGAUCUACGAGGGCUUCUGUCUUCAGCGUGACUGACAUGUCCAAAAAAAGUCAUAGCUGGAGGCAAUCGGAAAAUUUGAGUAGAUGAAAGUCGAAUGCGAGAGGACAAGUCAGGUGGACACGUUAUCUUAUAUCUGGUCAAUCGUCCGUGGCAGGUGGUAACAAGAAAUUCAGGGAUACGUUUGCCGCGUAAUUAUCCGCCGCGGUAGAUGUCAGAUAAGCUUCGCAAGCGAAUUAUUAAUGAAACGGCCGAAUCAAGAGAAAUCGGUCGGAAAAGGGGAAAAAGAGGGAGGUUGGAACUUGUUAUAUCAUCGCGCUUCCUUGACCCUGGAUCUGAAACUCGUCUCGAUAUGUACCCGCAUACAUUCUAUCACUCCUGAACUGGUUUGCGUGUCCAGUUUACGAAUCGAUGUUGAGUCUAUGAAAAUUUCUGCAAUUCGAGUAAAUGGUUAUUUUCAGUAACUAAUUAAACAUAUUUCUCAAUCCAAAUAUUUAUCAAAUUGUGUUCUACUAUUUUGUGAAAAAUUAUUAAAAUUAAUACGAGCUUGGAAUGAUUUUAAAUACUGCAACAAAGAGUUUGAGAAAAUAUGUUUCAAUAUCUAAUCAAUCAAAUAUUGCCUUGUGAAGAGAAAUGUUGGGUACAGAGAAUCACAAAUAUGAACGUAUAUUUGCCACGACUCGGUGGAAAGAGCGUGAAAAGAAGCCUUGGCAUGGAAACUGGUUGACGUGUCCACAAUGGCGGGCAGGGUUACGUAGGCGCCCUUGGAUCCCUAUUCAGGAUCAGCCUCCUCGAAUAGGAGCUUGAAAAGGAUACGGUGCUCUCGGCAUUGCGAGCACCCACGCGAGAAACAGGGAAGCUUUGUGGAAAAAAAAGGGGAGAGAGUAACGGUAAAGAAAAGAAUAUUUCAAAGAUGAAACUCUUUCAUCGAAUAUAAAUUAAUCGCAAAUCGAAUUCAUCCAUUAUAAUUGUGAAAAGUUGACACAAUUUAAAACUUGUACUCGAGUAAUUAAAUUGGACAUAACAGAAAACGACACAAUGAAAAAUGCAUCGAUAAUAUUUCUUUGAAAUAAAAAAAGAAAUGAAAAAAGGAAACAUCUGGCUGCGUAACUAAAAUUGUUUUUUAUAUUAUUGUAAUUUAUUUAAUUAAUAAUAUAACCAUGUUAAUUAUUAAUUAAACGAGCGAUCAUUAAUCGGUUGUUGGAAGAGUAAUAAUUGAGAUAAAACGAUCAUUCUUUGUAAUCAUAAUAUAAGAUGAUCACUGCAGAUGUAAUGCAUCGAUUUUAUCGUAAUUUUUUUUAUUCUAGAAUUGAUUAUUGGUCAUAGCAGAAAAAUUUAUUUCUUGUAAGAGUUAUUGAAACCACAAAUUCUUUCAAAAAAGCAAAGUCAAGUAUUCAAUAUAUUUUUUGCACUCUCCAUUCUAGAAAUAUUGUUAUUUCUUUCUGCUUCUUGCAAUGUAUUAAAGAAUCCAAGGUUGUUAUGUUAUUACUAACCCACGAUGGAACAAUGUUUCAAUCUUUCAGUUUUUCUUGAGAGACGAUAUUUUUUUAUAAUUAUAAAAGGAUAUAUUUUUAAUGAGGUAAAAUAAUUAUAAUAUAAUU